CAAGGAAUUUGUCUUGGUGUAAAUGCUCUCAGUAUACAUAAAAGAAAAGAUGCAUUCGUUACGAGUCGAGAAUCAUCAGGUACCACACUUAA